UUAGGAGCAAAACAAGAGGCACCAGGCAGGGAGGGAGGGUGAAAGCAAGUGCCAUAUGUCUAGACCGAGCGCCGCCGGAACUGCGAAGGCUCUGGACUGACACUACAGGAUUCAAACACAGGUUACUCCUGUAGUCAGCGAGGAUGGGACCCGCAUUCCACUCGACGAUGGUUUUGCAUGCAGAACGACAGAAAGUCUUCUGAAGGUGAUGACAGCAAUGAGGACAUGGAGCGAGGAGCAUUGUCCAUUGUCAAACCCCUUCCAAGCUGUGCCUAAGCUGCAGUUUUGAGCCAAGAACCAAGGCAUGCCUUUGCCAAGAAAAGGAUGAACAAGGACAGCACAUCACUACAAGCGAUAUUAACUGAAUUUCAGGAGGCCAAGAAAGAGCAGGCCAACCGCACUGGAAAAAAAAAAAAGACUUUGUUGGAGCGGCUUGUAACAGCUGUUGAAAAAGUUGCCUCGACCGUUUUGGAAUAAAAAUUCUCAAGAAAAAUGAAAACACUGUGUAUGUAUUAUGUGUUAUCAGACACUGCAAGACAAAACGAAGAAGCCUAAGACCUACAGGCCCCAAAUGUCUUGAUUCUUUAUCUUUCACGAACAAAUGUUUUCUCAAAAUAUAUUUGCAGCAUUACAAACACAACGUCAAGCAAAACUUAUCUGCAUGAGUACUCUUAGUGGCACAAAUCAAAUAACUGCUGCACAUCACAAAAGAUGCAAGGAUAUGCACUUCUGUGCUUUAGCACUACUUUUGGGCAAGUGCCUUUCGCAAGCACUCACUGCAGCCUGC